UGGUUGAGCGGUAAAACGUUUGGCUUCGAACCGGAGCUUCCGGGUUCGAAUCCUGG
rnacentral:tRNA from 1 species